rnacentral:rRNA from 1 species
AUUGAACGCUGGCGGCGUACUUAACACAUGCAAGUCGAUCGGUAACGCGGGGGCAACCCUGGCGACGAGAGGCGGACGGGUGAGGAACGCUUGGGAAUCUGCCUAUCAGCGGGGGACAACCCGGGGAAACUCGGGCUAAUACCGCAUACGCUCUACGGAGGAAAGCCGGGGACCGCAAGGCCCGGCACUGAUAGAUGAGCCUAAGUCGGAUUAGCUAGUUGGCGGGGUAACGGCCCACCAAGGCGACGAUCCGUAGCUGGUCUGAGAGGACGAUCAGCCACACUGGGACUGAGACACGGCCCAGACUCCUACGGGAGGCAGCAGUGGGGAAUAUUGGACAAUGGGGGAAACCCUGAUCCAGCGACGCCGCGUGGGUGAAGAAGGCCUGCGGGUUGUAAAGCCCUUUCGGUAGGGACGAAAGCUCUCGACCUAACACGUCGGGAGGUUGACUUAACCUACAAAAGAAGCACCGGCUAACUCUGUGCCAGCAGCCGCGGUAAGAC